GCUCCUAUGGCUUAGUUGGUAAAGCGCAUCACUAGUAUGCUUCAGUUAUGAUGAGAUCCUCGGUUCGAAUCCGAGUGGGAGCA